GACCAAACCAAACCGUCCAGUAACUUCCUCAUUUCUCCCACAAACGCAAAAACCCUUCUUCUUCGCUCUACUCUUUCUCUCUCCUGUUCUUCAAAGAAGGCGUAGACGCCUUCGAUUUCUUCUUCAUUUCUGCUCUUUUUCUCUCUCCUAUUCAACAUUCUUUCUUCGUUUCAGAUCUAGUCAAAUUCUUUAGCCAAAAUGAGGAUUGAAAUGCCUGCUGGGAGCUUUACUGUCUUGAGCACGGUAUUCAGACUGUCUUUGUGAAAGUCUUGUCGAUCUGCUGUCUAUGGUAUUUUGAGGUUUUGGUUACCAUAUGGGUAGCUGGGAUGCCGUUCCAGCCUUACCCCUACUGUACCUGAAGUCUCAGAUUAUGAUUCACAAUGGCCAUCAGGUUUGUUUGGGUUUGUUAGGAUGACUUUGGAAAGGUUGAAGAUUGAAAAUUUGUAUAUUGAAGAAGAAAUGAAUUCUUUCUAAUGUAUUAGAUAGAUUUUUUGUUAUUAUUUAUUUAAGUAAGGUUGUAAAUUAUUCACAGAUUUGAUUUAUCAUUUCUAUUUAUAUUGUAAUUACUUUUAUUACAUAUAAUAAUAAUUAUAAUUUUUCCUCUAAA